rnacentral:rRNA from 1 species
AUUGAACGCUGGCGGCAUGCCUUACACAUGCAAGUCGAACGGCAGCACGGGAGCAAUCCUGGUGGCGAGUGGCGAACGGGUGAGUAAUAUAUCGGAACGUGCCCAGUCGUGGGGGAUAACGUAGCGAAAGCUACGCUAAUACCGCAUACGAUCUACGGAUGAAAGCGGGGGAUCGCAAGACCUCGCGCGAUUGGAGCGGCCGAUAUCAGAUUAGCUAGUUGGUGGGGUAAAAGCUCACCAAGGCGACGAUCUGUAGCUGGUCUGAGAGGACGACCAGCCACACUGGAACUGAGACACGGUCCAGACUCCUACGGGAGGCAGCAGUGGGGAAUUUUGGACAAUGGGCGCAAGCCUGAUCCAGCAAUGCCGCGUGCAGGAUGAAGGCCUUCGGGUUGUAAACUGCUUUGUACGGUAACGAAACGGUAGGAGCUCUAAUAAGUACUUGCUAAUAGACGGUACCGUAAGAAUAAGACGACCGACUAACUACGUCGCCACG